rnacentral:rRNA from 1 species
GAUGAACGCUGGCGGCGUGCCUAACACAUGCAAGUCGAGCGAUCUUCUUCGGAAGAGAGCGGCGGACGGGUGAGUAACGCGUGGGUAACCUGCCCUGUACACACGGAUAACAUACCGAAAGGUAUGCUAAUACGGGAUAACAUAAGAAAUUCGCAUGUUUUUCUUAUCAAAGCUCCGGCGGUACAGGAUGGACCCGCGUCUGAUUAGCUAGUUGGUGAGGUAACGGCUCACCAAGGCGACGAUCAGUAGCCGACCUGAGAGGGUGAUCGGCCACAUUGGAACUGAAACACGGUCCAAACUCCUACGGGAGGCAGCAGUGGGGAAUAUUGCACAAUGGGCGAAAGCCUGAUGCAGCAACGCCGCGUGAGCGAUGAAGGCCUUCGGGUCGUAAAGCUCUGUCCUCAAGGAAGAUAAUGACGGUACUUGAGGAGGAAGCCCCGGCUAACUACGUGCCAGCAGCCGCGGUAA